AUUGAACGCUGGCGGCAGGCCUAACACAUGCAAGUCGAACGAGUGGCGGACGGGUGAGGAAUGUCUGGGAAACUGCCCGAUGGAGGGGGAUAACUACUGGAAACGGUAGCUAAUACCGCAUACCAUCGGAUGUGCCCAGAUGGGAUUAGCUUGUAGGUGAGGUAACGGCUCACCUAGGCGACGAUCCCUAGCUGGUCUGAGAGGAUGACCAGCCACACUGGAACUGAGACACGGCCCAGACUCCUACGGGAGGCAGCAGUGGGGAAUAUUGGGCAAUGGACGAAAGCCUGAUGGAGCCAUGCCGCGUGAGUGAAGAAGGCUUUCGGGUUGUAAAGCACUGUCGUCAGGGAGGCGGUACCCACAGAGGAAGCACCGGCUAACUCCGUGCCAGCAGCCGCGGUAAUAC
rnacentral:rRNA from 1 species